rnacentral:lncRNA from 1 species
GUACAUAUAGAAUGUGCUUUGACAGGUAAGUAGGACGAUGAGAUUUGUACAGAAGCAGUAACAAGGGCACUGCUCGCCAUGAAGCUUACAUAUGGGUAAUGAAUAAACUGUGCAAAGGUACGGAUAGAAAGGUACUGUUCAUCAAUACUACCAUAUAAUAAACAUAGAAUCCAUAAAUUGGGCUAAUGCAUAAAAAUGUUCAUUAAUCCCCCCCUUAGGAAAUUGUGUCCCCAAACUAAAAAUAUUACAGUAAGAAUUGCUUUUUAUUAGAGAAUUUCAAGAACUCUUUACUACAAAAUGUCCAGUGGAGUUAUAGAACUAGACGAAUAUUUGCCACUACAAAGCAAAUGAAUGGGUCCUCCCAUGGAGUGGCUCUCUCAAGGGUCACUGCAGGGUGGGCAGCACAGUUGAGCAGGGUCUUCCUCUCCCUCCACAGGGAGGGGAUUAAGGAAACAGACAGCAUCAUUUUUCUGAACAAUGGAAGGUUUAUGUGUUUGCCGAUUUACAAGAUGGUUUGGAUGAGACCAACUUGGAAUCUCCAUUCCUGCUUCACAAGCCUUCAUGGGGAGGACAAUAGUGUCACAGGAGGGGCUAGAAAGAUACUAGAGUGGGGUGAGUGCCCACCUCCUAGCAGCCCAGGUGGCGGCGCCUCCUCCUCUCUGGUUCGAAUGGAGCCUCCGCGUCCAGACUUGGUCUUCAGGAUGCAUGUUCCAGAGUGGGAUUUAAGAACAUUCUUUGCCACACAGAGUCUUUGCCAACUCUGGGGCUCAGAAUGUAUUUCCCAGCUGUCCUCAGAUACAAACUUCAUGCCCCAAAUUCCCAGGCCGGCUCUGAACUUUCCUCCUCCAGUCCAUUCCCUAUCUGAAAUUGGAAUCACCUCCCUCCAGCUAUAAAGGGCCACUUCAAAAAUGAAAACUCCAGACUCAGAAUUUCCCAGUGACAUAGACAUCUGGGUGAUUUAGGUGUGUCUACAGGAGAGGCUUCCGUGAUGCAUGGUUGGUGACCUUUUGAAUGGUCACACCCUUCAUCUUCUGGUCUGAGAGUAACUGUGGGUGGCUGAGCCUGUUGAGCCCACCCCAAGCUUUGGUGAGGAGUCUGGUGGCUGUCUAGGGCUUCUGAGGAUGUCACCAGGGGCAGGCAUAGUGGAAUAUGUGCAGCUCAGUUGAGGUGGAAAGGAUAUGGAGAAAGGAUGGUAGAUGAGAGGUUGAUGGACAUGAGAGCCCUAGAAUGUAAGAGCUGGGUGAGACUUUGAGGCUCAUCUAGACAAAGCCCCUUGUUUUACAGAUGGGGGAAACUGAGGCACUGAGCAGGAACAUGAUUCCCCCUUGGUCACAUAGCAAGAUGGAGAAAAAGCCAGGGCUGGAAGCCACAUCUCCGGAGCCACAGCCCUCUGCUUUCUUUUUCUCCCCAAGUCUGCAGUCUUCCAAAACCAAAUACAGAGCCCAGGAAGACUUCUUUCACAUUGAAUCUGCCAUUAAAAUGCUGCAUUUUAUAAAAAAUAACAUUUGAACCCUGAAAAAUACUUCGUUAAAACACAACAUGCUUCCUUGAAAAUAUUCCAGAGCAAAGUUUCCCAGAUUUGGAGAGAAUGACAGGAAUGUGAAUGGGAGGUAAUAUGUCCAUACUUCUUAGAAUAGGUGCCUUCCAGGGUCCAAGGGAUUGAAGCCCUUUCAAACUUUUACCUUGGGUCAAGUCCACAGAUGCCUGUGGAAGGAAUCAGGGUGGAAGUCUGGUGGCAGACAGAAUAUCUCUGAAGAAAAUGGAUUGAGUUUGGUGGCAGGGACUUGGGAUGGAUACUCCUCUAUGUGUUGAGAGCUGUGAGUCUUUCAAAUCCUUUGGAACAAAUGGGGGGGCGGAGGUUGUGAUGCACACUAUCAGGAAGGAGAAAUGAGUAAGAGCAGUUGCUGAGAGCCCCCAAGGGUAUGAAUCUUUGGCCAGAGCAGGAGCCUCUGGGCUAGUAGAAGCCUGGGGCAGGGGCUUCACGGGUCUUGCAGCUAUAGAAACCAAGGCUGAUAUUUAAGCCAUGAUACCUCUAACCCAGCAACCCUCUCCCUUCCCUCCCAAAGAUCAGCAGGGGAGAGCCCUUGGCUCUAAACCCUGGGCUAUCACCUUACAGGUGUAGGAAUUGAAGUAUAAACCAAUAAGACCAAAAGAGGACUCGAGCAAUGUCUGAUUCUUCCACAGUUUUUACCCAAAGCUUUAGUUCUUGAAACUAGAGACUCUAGCAGGACCAGAGAAAAGAAAUUAGGGAUGGAGGAAGGUAAAUGGAGGAAGAGGGAAAUGAGAAGAAAGAGAAAACUGGCACAUGAGAGAGACUGAGGUUGAGAAGAGAGUGAGCUUAGAAAAAGGGGAGAAGGUUGGAACUUUCUAAGAGGCAGACCCAUUGCCCAAGACACGGGGGAAUCCUGAGGCAAGAAGCCCAGUUCGGAGGUUAAGGGAUCCUAGGCAGGAGGAAGCAAGACAGGAAAGAUGGAAGGGCAUAAGGGAUCUUGAGAUCUUCAGGAGGAACACACAGAGCAGGAGAGACCUGUGCCGACUCCUGUCCAUUUCUAUCAGAGCAAUGGAGACAUGCAAGAAAGAGCAAAAGGAGCAGAGGGACAUCUUGGGCUUUAGGCUUCCUUUACUAGGGAGGGACAGGGGUACUUUAUUAUGAAGGAGGUGUUGCUCCUCUGGGGGUAGCAAAGGCCACUGACCUGGUGGGGCUGAAAGUUGUGAAUCUAGGUUCCAGCCCCAGAACCCUCUCUUUAUGGGAACUUACCUGGUAAUGUGACUUUGCUUAUUCCAUCGAGAUGAUGGGACAACUGAAUUAACGAGACACAGCAGUCCCCCCUUAUUGGCAGGGGAUAUCCUCCAAGACCCCAAGUAGAUGCCUGAAAAUGCAGAUGGUACCAAGCUCUGUAUAUAUGUUUUUUUUUUUCUUAUACAUGCACAUGUGUGAUAAAGUUUAGAAAUCAGACAUGGAAAGAGAUUAGCAACAACAGGUAGUAAUAAGAUAGGAUAGUUAUAGCAAUAUAUUGUGAUAAAAGUUAUAUGAAUUCAGUUUUUCUCUGUUAAAAGAGUCAAGACAGAUAUUAAUAUUUUAGGACCAUGUUUGAUGGAAACAGGGUGAUGCAAAACUGUGAAUGAGUGGGGGACUGCUGUCCCUCUUUGCCCCAGUUAAAAGACAUAGUUUUCUGGAUUUUGCUAUAGGGGGACUGAAUUGGAGUAUGUUUGUAGACCUGUCUCUAUGUAAACCCAUCUCUAUCCCUUUUUCUCUUGCUUUCUGUUCUUCACUCCCUCUUUUCCUCCUUCCCUCCUUCCCGACUCAAGGGUGAGACAGGGAAAAAAAAAUCCUUUAAAAGAAGUAAGGGUUCUAAGCAGAAUUUUCUGCUCCAACGGACACCAAAGAUUUUCAACCAGACAGUGGUAAGGCUGGAAUGAGAAAUUUUCUGAGAUCAACCUGUCAAACAACCCUUGAGACAGACACCUUGUCAGAGACAGGGCUGAGGGAAAAGCAUCCCCCUGGGGGAUGGAGAACUUGGUGGCUAGAAGAUGCCUAGAUGGGAUGUGCCCAGCUCUCGGGUUUAGUGUGUGCAUGUGUAGACACCCGGGGAGGGAAUUCUCACCUACCCAUGUCCUGUCCUCAUCCCCUCGGCCAACAAGUGGCUCUCAAGGCUUAGGGGCCAGCUGUGAGACACAUCUUUAAAUCUGGGAGUGAUCAACUGCUAUAUUUAGACUGAUUACUUGUUUUCUGAGCCUUCUUAGAAGCCUCCAGCCUUCUAGAACAAACACUCAUAAACCCAUGGGGACCAGCCCUUAAGAAGGUUUAUGUGUUUGUGGGGAAGAAAGCGAAGUGGACCCUGGCUCCCUGGCACCACAGUCCCAGGGACACUUGCCCAGUGGGGAAGCUGAGGGCUGCAUCUUUGUAACCCCAAACCUCCAUCCCCUCAGGAUUCAUGCCGGGCAUUCCUGUUCACUCUGGGAAGUGAGCCUUGGGGAGGGGAGGAGAAAAAGAGCUUUGCAAUUUCUUGAAAUCUGUAAGAGGAAGCAGUCCAUUGAUCUCUCUGCUGUUCGUGGACUUGAUUAAAUAUCCCCAGGGUAGAUACUGAGGAAUCCUCCCACCCUUCUUUUUUAUAAAGGGCCAUCCAUGUGGAACUGAGGGAAUGUCAAAUUCCAGUUAAGGGCACGGUUGCUGGAGUCUUGUUUUUCUCUCGUCAUGCCUUUACCAAACAGUCUGGAACUGAUUUCCCCCAGCCCUAGCUGGGGAAGGUGCCCUGGCUCUGAGAAUGGAGGAGCCCCCAUCUCCCUUACCCUGGUCUUGGGGGGAGGGUGCGGACACUGCUCUGUUCAUGGUUAGUUGCCCAGGAGCGGUCAACCAUUGUCCACUCUCUAGGUUGAAGACAGAAAAGGGGCUGGGAUGGGCUGGCAGUGGAGCCCCUCACAGAGAGGGUGGGCGCGGGUCUGCCUGAUGCCCA